GGGAGAGGGGAGCGGGGCCGACACAGGACUGCAGUUGACAGCAGAUAACUGAAAGCUCGGAAAGCGAAACCGUGGAUAAGCAGGGGAACUGUGGCAUCCCAUUUAAAAUUGCUUCUGAAGAGAAGCAUGAGGUUACAUCUGUAAUCUCCCUGCAGCAGAGUCAACUGCAUAAGAAACCAAAAGACACACCUGCUCCAUGCCAGCCUAAGCCACCACAUAAAAAGUCAGACCAUCUGCUGGAAGAACCACAUGGAGAGGCCCUGAGUCGACAUGGAGAGGAAGAAGGACUUAACUGAAUCCAGCCUUCCAGCUGUCCCUACCAAGGUGCCAGGCACGAGAAUGAAGCUGUCUUGGACUCUGAAGACCAGCUUAGCCACCAGGUAAAUGCCACUAAGUGACCUCACUCAAUGUCAUGUGGGACGGAAGAAUCACCCCGCCAAACCCUUCCUGGAUCCCUGACCCAGAAAUUUGUCAGAUGUAAUGGUUGUGAAAAGCCACUCAAUUUGGGGGCAGUUUGUAUGCAGCAUAGCUAGCUGGUAUGAUACAACAGCCUGCAAUUCAGGCAGCAGCAGCACUAACAACGAUGAA
rnacentral:antisense_RNA from 1 species